UACGGAAGGCAGCAGUGGGGAAUAUUGCACAAUGGGCGCAAGCCUGAUGCAGCCAUGCCGCGUGUAUGAAAAAGGCCUUCGGGUUGUAAAGUACUUUCAGUCGUGAGGAAGGUGUUAAGGUUAAUAACCUUAGCAAUUGACGUUAGCGACAGAAGAAGCACCGGCUAACUCCGUGCCAGCAGCCGCGGUAAUACGGAGGGUGCGAGCGUUAAUCGGAAUUACUGGGCGUAAAGGGCACGCAGGCGGUUAAUUAAGUUGGAUGUGAAUCCCCGGGCUUAACCUGGGAAUGGCAUUCAAGACUGGUUAGCUAGAGUCUUGUAGAGGGGGUUAGAAUUCCAUGUGUAGCGGUGAAAUGCGUAGAGAUGUGGAGGAAUACCGGUGGCGAAGGCGGCCCCUGGACAAAGACUGACGCUCAUGUGCGAAAGCGUGGGGAGCAAACAGGGAUUAGAUACC
rnacentral:rRNA from 1 species